AUCCAAUUGACGAGUCCCAAAUAAGACGAAACGUGAGUCCUGGAU
rnacentral:hammerhead_ribozyme from 1 species